rnacentral:lncRNA from 1 species
GUGUCAUCUAUAACCAUCACUGACCUGUUCAUCACAGCCAGCAGAGCCCAGUAUCUCCACUGCUACCCCUCAUGCUUCGCAGGAGGGUCAUCUGUUCCUUCCUGGAUUGCAUCACCAAUUACAACAAGGCCUAAAAGCUUGAUGCAUACUUGUCCAAGUGCACAGGACAGAGACCAUUUGUGACUAUGAAGGUUGUGGCAAGACUUUCAACAGGGAUUGCCAUCUGAGCUGCCAUAUCCUGAUUCAUACUGGAGAACAAUCAUUUG